rnacentral:rRNA from 1 species
CCUACGGGGGGCAGCAGUGAGGAAUAUUGGUCAAUGGCCGAGAGGCUGAACCAGCCAAGCCGCGUGAGGGAAGAAUGUCCUAUGGAUUGUAAACCUCUUUUGUCAGGGAGCAAAGUCACCCACGUGUGGGUGUUGGAGAGUACCUGAAGAAAAAGCAUCGGCUAACUCCGUGCCAGCAGCCGCGGUAAUACGGAGGAUGCGAGCGUUAUCCGGAUUUAUUGGGUUUAAAGGGUGCGUAGGCGGGUUAUCAAGUCAGCGGUAAAAUCGUGGAGCGCAACUCCAUCCAGCCGUUGAAACUGAUGAUCGUGAGUGGGCGAGAAGUAUGCGGAAUGCGUGGUGUAGCGGUGAAAUGCAUAGGUAGCACGCAGAACUCCGAUUGCGAAGGCAGCAUACCGGCGCCCGACUGACGCUGAAGCACGAAAGCGUGGGUAUCGAACAGGAUUAGAUACCCUUGUAGUCCUGUCUCUUAGUAGUC